AAAAAAAAGUACAUUAAUUGAUAUAAAAUUUAGGAAAAAAUAUCAACGAAUCCCGUUAAUGUAAUUCUUAAAAUAAAACAUUAGGGCGCUGUGCUAUCUACGUGGUUCCAUCACGAACUUAAUAAAUAUACCUGGACUGCUAAUGCAUUUGGCCACGAUACCGAAAAUUUACCGCUGCCUGGUGGCCGCCAUUUUUAUAGUGGUUUAACUUGGUCACUCUGAACAUUUUCAGUGUUGCCAACAAAAAAUAUAUUAAAUAACGGUAAUGAAGUUGACGACGCUGACGUUUGACGUGUGAGUAUAGCGGAUUGCCUAGUUUUUGACGAUUUGUAAACGACGCUUGGGUAUAUUUCUGGAACAGGCGAUGUAGGGUGAAUUGCCUGGUUUUCGGCUACUUAACUGAAUUAUGAUAUUUAGGUUACUUUUAAAAAGAGCCUAUUUCAUUAUUUAUAUAUUAAAAUAUUUUACUCAAUAGCCUAUAGCAUCUUUAAUUUAAAUUUAUCAUUUCAAAAUAUAAGGAUCAUUUAGAGUAUUUUUGUAUAAAUAAAAUAUAAAAAAUGUGCCUUUUGCUAGUUCUCGGCCGCUUGACUUUUUUUUCGGCCAUUCUUUUGCCAGUUUUCGGCCGCUUUUCGGCCAUGCGAACAAAUGAUUAAGACGUAAGUAAGAAAUAAAAAUAAAAAACAAUAAAAAUAAAUAAAAUUUUAUUCGAGAUUUUAUUGCACAAAACAUCAUGUAGCAUAUCUGCUACAUAUAAAAUAUUGAAGAAUUCUAUUUUCAUUAAAUGUUUUAUGAUACACCUAAAUGCAUAGUGUAGCAUCGUUGAUUGAAUAUUUGGGAAGAUACGCAACCUUAUGGGCCAAAGCGUGACCGCAAAUAUGCGUGAAAAAUAGAUGGCGAUUCUCUCCAGUAUGCGCGAAAAUAAUUUCGUCCGUCGCUUCUCAUUAGUAAGCGGUCGAUCAUCCCUGAGUCGUGUGGGAGAGUUUUUGCACAGGUUCGUGUUUGCACUUUGCCGUAUUGCAAUUUGGUAGUUGUUAAAAAAUUGUCUUGGAUAUCAUAAUCACAAAUAGAUAGAUAUAUGUGAAUGUGUUUAGUUUGUGAGACAAUGGCUCCUUUAGGCAAAAUUAAUUAGUGUGCGUAUCGUGGGUGCAAUAAUGUAAGAAAAUGUAAAAACAAUGUUCUCAGUUUUUCAAAUUUCCGAUUUUAAAACCAGUGUUGCUUAACCAGUGGAUAGAAAAUAUAGGCAAUGGGGAAACAUAUGUUAUGGAUAAAAAUUUAUUAAAAAACAAAGUGGUUGGCCAGAAACAUUUUGACAAAAUAUAUAUUGCAGUAAGUAAUAAGCGAAAGAGACUUUUAAAAUUAGCUGUACCAAUUUCAUGGAAAGAACCGGCCUCUAGAAACACAAUUUCUUUGCCUGAUACCUCAUGUAAAGCUCAAAGCCUUGAGAGUUUAGAUGCAAAAGUUUCAUCAAUAAAUUGGGAAAAUGAUACAAUUGAUACAAAUGUAUUGCCUGGCACGCAUAUUCAAGUUGAUAUUUUGCAGCAUAGUCCAAAAAAUGGUAAGUGUUUGGUAAAUUUUUCCAAAUUUGCUUUUGUUUGCAAUAAAAUCUAAAUAAGAAAUGAAUUACUUGAAUUUUAAGGAGAUAUAUUUUCUUUAAAAAUUAGUAAAAUUGGUAACACUUGAUCUAUUCUGGUCUUCGAAUAGAUCAAGCAUAUGUCAACGAGUAAGCAUAUGUGAGAAUGAUCAACCAUAAACCAUAUGUUUCUAAAUAAAGGAAGUUAAAAUUUUCUUUUAAACUUUAGUGUUUUUAAAGAAUUUGAAUAUUCUUUAGCAAUUGUCCAAAAAUAAUUCUACACCUGUUAUUUUUAGUGAUAUAGAACAAAUUUAGCUUUAACUGGCUGGUUGUAAUAUAAUGAUACAACUUAAGAGAGAGGUAUAUAAUAUUUAAUAGGGAUGAUUUCAACUACUCACUAGAAAUUACCUCGUUGAAAAAGUAAUUAAAAGGGUUAUUUAAAACUGCAAGUAGCCAACAUGGCGUCGACAAGAAGAAACAAAGUUGAUUAUGACUCUCUUAAGAAGGAACGUCAUAUUUAAAAGUUAAAGAUGUUAACUUGUAAAUGAGAGAAAGUGUUUACAACAAUGUAUAAAUGAUUUUAUUUUAUAUUUUCAAAUAACGCCAGAAAAAAAUAAAAAACCAUUUUGGCAAAUUUCACCUUUUUCCUGAAUAUUAGGAAGUAUUUGGCAUUUUUCUAAUUUUUAGAUUGCAUUUAUUCAAUCAUUGCAUUUAUAUUGCGCAACUUUUGCCA